CACUUCCCAUCCCCCUCGCCCUUUUCGCGCUCGCGAGGCCGCGACACCAUUCACUCUCUCAGUCUCACUCACACUCUGCUGUAAUUUUCGGGAGGAGAUUUGGAAGAUUCUCGCUGUCUUCGUAGUCAAGGCUAAGUCAAGUUACAGCACUUCCAGAAGAUAUUGUUUUCCCCCUGAGGACGCUCUUGGAGGUUGCUGCAAUGGAGCAGAAAUUGGCAGACCCCACCUUCCACAAACAAGUGGUUGGCGUGGUGGCAGAAAUUGGAGGAAGAACAUUGGAUGAAGCCACCAGAAGAAUGAUGGCCUUCCUUUUAGACCACUCCCUAUCAAGAGAGUACAAUUUUGUUGGCUGCCAUGGAAAGCGAGAGUUUCGGGGCU